UACGUAGGGUGCGAGCGUUGUCCGGAAUUAUUGGGCGUAAAGAGCUUGUAGGCGGUUUGUCGCGUCUGUUGUGAAAAUCCGGGGCUCAACCCCGGACUUGCAGUGGGUACGGGCAGACUAGAGUGUGGUAGGGGAGACUGGAAUUCCUGGUGUAGCGGUGGAAUGCGCAGAUAUCAGGAGGAACACCGAUGGCGAAGGCAGGUCUCUGGGCCACUACUGACGCUGAGAAGCGAAAGCAUGGGGAGCGAACAGG
rnacentral:rRNA from 1 species